AUGGCAGUCUUGGCACCUUGGGGGCACUCUGGUAGCAUUCUAUGUGCCCUCUGUGCACCAGGCUGUGGCUGUGCCUUCCACAAGCUGCAAGAGGCUGGGCACUGUGCCCGGCUGCGUGAGGCACUGCUGGCACAGUCCCAUCCUGCCCCCUCACCUGGCUCUGGGACCAUGCAGACGUGGCCGCAUCGGCUGCUGCUGCAGCACUUCUCAUCCCCCGGGCACUGCUCAUCUCCUGCACAAGGGUCCUGGCACUGGGACCCCUCAGCCUGCUCGCUCAGGGGGCAGAUCCCCGGUUUCUCUGGAAGGCAGGAAAUGGGAUGCUGGGGGUGGCUGGGCAUGACCAGAGAUGCUCUGGGGGGGUGCUCAGUGGCUCCAACCUUGGGCUGGGCGCAGGCACACGUAGUCACAGCCCUGCAGGCAGCACUUCUCCUCGCCGGGGCAGUCGGCAUCACGCCGGCACCACUCUCUGCAGUCGUAGCUGGGGAACAACCCAGCGCUGGCCGGGCAGAAUCCAUCCUUCCCUGCAGGUCAUGGUGUGGGGUGGAGUGGGUCCCGCUCUGCAGUGCAGUGGUCCCAUGGGGACACAGUCCAGCACACAUGGGCAGGGUGCAUUGCCUGAUCCAUCACUGCAUCCCUCCAUGUUGGGGCCCCCCCGUCCUGCAAGGCGACCCCCCCCAUCCCCUUGCUCCCAACUGCACCCUGCGCCCAGGUUGGCAGCUCUGCUGUUGGUGUGGCUCCAGGUGGCAGGGACAGGGCUGGCAGUAUCCGAACUGCAGAGCAGAGCUUGGAUGGUGGGGUCAUCGGGUUGGAGGUGAGAGUGGGAUGACCACUGUAGUGGUCUUCGGUGUCCCCACCACAUCCUUGCUGCUGUACACACUGCUCCCAACCCGGCCCCUCUCUGCUUGUGGUGGGUACUGUGGGCACCCCUGGUCCCCAGUCCAUGGCCAAACCUGUGAUCCACGUCCCACCCCGUCCCACCCUGUCCCACCCCGUCUCACGGGCUGGCGCUGCAGGCAGACACUGGAGGCCACAGCUGCUGUUGCAGCACUUCAGCGCAUUGGGGCAGUCGCUGUCACCAUCGCACUCCUCCCGGCACGGCCCCUCCAGCUCUGGCAGCACCACGGGACACUCCCCGGUUUUGGGUUUCUCUGGUGGAGCAGAGCGAUCAGAAGCAGCCGUGAGCAGCGCUGGACACGGGGGGACAUCGCAUCGCCCCCCACCACCGGGAGCUCCGUGCUCUCACCGUGGCCCAGGCACGCCCGGCGGCACGCUGCCCGCGUCCCGAAGCGGUUGGCAUUGCCCCCACAGCCGCUGUAG
rnacentral:lncRNA from 1 species